rnacentral:tRNA from 1 species
UGUUCCCACCCGGGAUUGAACCGUUGUUGUUGUUGUGAAGCGUGAAUGUCACGUGAAGCACACGUGAUACCCACUACACCACGGAAAC